CUAGUGAAGUUCAUCAAGAUUGUUCAGGAAGCUGGAAUGCAUAUGAUUCUACGAAUUGGUCCUUUUGUUGCAGCCGAGUGGAAUUAUGGGGGAGUCCCGGUUUGGCUGCAUUACGUUCCAGGAACUGUCUUCAGGGCGGAUAAUGAACCAUGGAAGCAUUACAUGGAGAGUUUCACGACUUAUAUAGUGAACUUGUUGAAAAAAGAGAAGCUUUUUGCACCACAGGGCGGUCCAAUAAUCUUGUC